AACGAACGCUGGCGGCAGGCUUAACACAUGCAAGUCGAACGCAUCGCAAGAUGAGUGGCAGACGGGUGAGUAACGCGUGGGAACAUACCCUUUUCUACGGAAUAGCUCUGGGAAACUGGAAUUAAUACCGUAUACGCCCUACGGGGGAAAGAUUUAUCGGGGAAGGAUUGGCCCGCGUUGGAUUAGCUAGUUGGUGGGGUAAAGGCCUACCAAGGCGACGAUCCAUAGCUGGUCUGAGAGGAUGAUCAGCCACAUUGGGACUGAGACAUGGCCCAAACUCCUACGGGAGGCAGCAGUGGGGAAUAUUGGACAAUGGGUGCAAGCCUGAUCCAGCCAUGCCGCGUGAGUGAUGAAGGCCUUAGGGUUGUAAAGCUCUUUCACCGAUGAAGAUAAUGACGGUAGUCGGAGAAGAAGCCCCGGCUAACUUCGUGCCAGCCGCCGCCGUAACAC
rnacentral:rRNA from 1 species